UGGCCUUCAGUAGAAAAAAUGGCGAGAAGUCGCAUCUUCGGUUUCUCUGUUUGGACGUGUUUGUAACACUUCUGAUGUUCUUGUUCCAGGCUUCUUAUCUUUUAUUUAUUUUUUCUUUUUUGGGGGGGCAGCGGAGGAGCAGCAGCGACGACGACGAAGGAAAGGUCGGAGGAGGACGAGACGUUUUGGGAGAGGAGAAAAUGAAUGUGGUUGCGAGUAAAGGAGAGUUGAUCCAUAGGAGCAGUGUUCUUGUUUUGUGGAUUGGAGGAUCAAAGAGUUGAGUCGGCGACGGGGUGAGAAGCAACCAUUCCACAAAUGAAGUGAAUGGGCACGAGCGUCGUCUUUGGAUGCAAUCUGUCUGCAGCGCACGUAAAUGUGGAACGUGAGGUGGCGCAGUUGUGAGCUUUGAGGUUUGCAAGGGAGUUGCUUUGGCAGGAGUUCUGAUCAGGAAUGGAUAGUUGGCGGAGGUGAGGGUAGGAUAAGGUUGACGUGGCGGUGUUUGAAAAGGUCGGUCGGAGACGGUCUUGAGGUCGUUUCGGCGGGUCUGGCUCCAGAGCGUCCGUUUUGGAUGGUAUACGGUGCAGGUUUCAAAUGAGGGUUUUUAAUCACGAUUUGUGACACCCAAAAGUUAAGACUUGUAUUGAUUUCAGGGUGGAAGAGCAAGAGUCGCGCACGACUGGCAAGAGGUUCCCCAAUUGAGGCGAGCGCUGAAGUCACGUGCCUCGAGUCCAUAUCGCUUUGACAAUUUCGGAUGCGUAUUAAACGCGCGACGUGGAAGGGUGCCAAAAAUAUCGCGACGACCGACUCGCGUGGUGCGUUUUUAGCAGGUUUGAAGAGGAGGCCGCCAGACGGGACGAGAGCGACUCAAGCGGCGUACGAAGAUGUUUGUCGGCGUUCCCGGCGGCCGACGCGGGACAGAUGUCGUCGCGCACGCGGGAGACGGCGGAUUGGCCGAGAAGCGGCAAGAGGAACGGGAUCAGGGUAACAGAAGGACUGAGUCAUCAGGGACAGGAGACGACCAGGAGAACCAGAUUAGGCUAAAGUGCGAAUGAAGGUGAACUUCUGGAGUAAUGAAGUCAGCGGGACCUGGAACGGGAUGAACAAUUUCACUUCUCGAGGGAGGAUGUAACGGGCACAAGAGUUGGAAAGGAUGGCACUUUGAGUCACGCAGUACAGAGAGGGCAGCAGCGUUGAAGCCAAGGUUUGUAUGCGGGUUUGCUCGAGCACAGCAUGUUGACGGAUCACUUUGGGUUGAGCACAUUGGCGGGGUCUGGGGGUUAGCGCGUCUUUCUUUGUAGCUGUUGGACGUCAGAGGCUGAGCUGGCAAGGAAAAGGGUAAGAAGAUCUAUUUGCACAAAGUGAAGUUUCCAAGUACGGACGUAUGACAUUUGCGGAUUUGCAGGUUUUAAGGCGAGGGACGACGGGGCCACGGAGCAGCGGACGCGCAAGUUUGCCCGCGUGGUCCUGCGACCGAAGGACAGAUGUGGCGCGUUUGAGGUUGGAGAUGGCCAACCGGGUGAGGUAGACUACGGUAAUGAGUCUGUCGAGAAAUUAAUUGUGACAGUUUGAAAAAGGCUUUAUUGUUUUUCCCGCCCGGCCCCUCUGCGCACCACGGAUGCCUUUGAAGGGGCCCGAAAACGGCGCUCGCGCGAGUCCGCUGGCGCCGACCGAAGCGCCUCAAAUAUGUGGCGGAGUUGAUUUGUAUAGCGGAAUGUUUGACUUUGCGUGCGGCAGGGUGGGACGCGAGGAAUCCAGGGCCACCGGACGAGGGUCCCGAGUGCACGCGGGCGAGAUUGGGGGCGGGCGAGGGUAACAAGUGAGGUUUAAAAUCGUUAGAUUUUUCAUUCCUUUGGCUGGAGGAGACGGACGAGGUGAGGAACAAAGGCGAAGAGGACAGUCUACUCCCACCACGGAUUGGCGAAAAAGAUCGGAGGAGAGUCACCAGGAGCCACCGGAUGAGGGUUUGGAGACGAAUUGUCGGGCAAGCCAGCGAUUGUCAAGUAGAGCAGACUUGUUUUUGUAUUGGAAGUGGAUACAAUGUGGACGGGAUGCAACAAAAACCAAAAACGGGGCCACUUUGUCAAGUGGCAGAAAGAAGGAGGAGGAGAUGAGUAGGACCGGGAAUGUGGUGAAAAGAGGACCAAUUGCAGUCAUCAAAUGAAGAGCGAACGGGCAGACAAGUUGGCGAAAGGCACUUUGAAAACGCGAGCGGCGUUUUGAUACAUUUAACGGCGGCCACGUUUGUCGCAGGUUUUUGCCGGGAGAGGACUAGCGCGGAAGCGAAGUUGAGGUUGCAAGAGGAGCCUUCCGGAGGGGAGGAAGGCAAAAUGUCUCUGGGCGCUCAAGUAAUGAUGGUGUUCACAGAGGAAAUGUUCCACUUGUUGAAGUUCAGGAUGACAUUUUGAAAGGUGGAGAAUGGGUGAUUUGGGUGAGAGGAACGGAGAAGAAGUCAAGCAGGCCGGUGGCCCGAGAUAAGAGUCAAGCGACAGGCUGAGGGUCGUCGGUACACGCGCGCGGAAGCGGCAGACGAGUGCUUUUGAGAGGAGCUGAAUAAUUUUGGACCAACGCGGAGGAGACGGAGAAUGGAAUAAUGAGCGUCAAUGAAGGUGCCCUCUUUGAGUGACGGUGUAAAGUGUUUGACUGGAGCGGAAGAGUUGAAGGAAAGCUGAUUAAGUUUCCGUGCGGUGCGGGUGUUUGACGAGCAGGCUCCGAGUCUUGAAUGAACACAAGUAUCGACUGUAAUAUUUAAUGUAACUUAUUUUUCAGGGCGGAGAACAACAAUAGCGCACAAGAGGCUUUUGACCGGCACGCGAGCAGCAGCAGCAGCGCGGAUGGAGAGGUUUGCGCACGGGCUCGCUCGAGCACUGCAUGUUCACACACCUCACUUUGGGAUUUGGGUUUUUGUAGGUUUACAGUUUUCCAUUGUAGUUGUCGGACGGCAGAGGCUGAGCUGGCAAGGAAACAAGGACGAUCGGGAUCCAAGUUUUCGGGCGUCAGCGGGGCCGACGGACGGACGGAUGCCGCGCACUCGAGACGGUCGGAGAGGGUUGCGCUCCGGGGGAGUCAAAUAACAUUCCAUUUUCAACGAGCACAUUUCCUGGGCAGCCGUUAUGUCCGCCACGGUGGAGUUGGAAUGGGCCAAUAAUUGCCACGAUGAUGGGAUAAAAGAACGCAAGGGCCGCCGGAUGAGCGUCCUAAGUGCACCCAGACGAGACGGAUGACAUGAAGCGAGGUUUAUAGUACAUGGACAAUGACCAACAGCCAGCCACCAAGGAUGGGGCGAGGAGGCAUCGGGACCCCAACGGAUGAGGAUAAAGAGUGCACACGACUGUAGGCGUAAGGGCAGCAGGCAAGCGGAGACGCGAAGAAGGACGCUCGGGCGUCGCAAACAAGUGACCGUCAAGCGGAGACGUUCGGGAAGUCCUCCAGAGUCGGAGCCGGUUGGGUCGAGCGGAAGCGGAUCUUGACGAAAGAAGGUAACGAGACGCACUUGCGGUAAAAAGAAUCCAACAGCGACGCAUUUAACGACGCACGCGUUGAAUAAUUUGCAGCGCUCGGCGCGACCUGGAAUGGGCUGAGAAGGAACAAUUGCACUCACGAACUGAAGACUGGAGGGGGAGGGGGGGGGGGGGGCAGACGAGUUGCGUUUGGGUGUAAUUGCACGCCAGCGACGGACUGAGUACCGAGGUGACGAUUUGUCUUUCUUUGAAUUACCGCGCUCGGUCAGUGCCUUUUUUUAGCGUCGGCCGGUUGGGUUCAGUGCAUCAUUUGUUUUUUUUUUUUUCAAUGAAUUGCGCGGGCCUAGAAUAAUGUCAGAUUACUGCAAAACAGAGAAAUAGUCGUUUUAGCCUCAAGGCCAACAAUCGUACCCAACUGCGGUGCCGUUUAGUUGAAUGUUUCGUCCCUCAGCGUUUGUAAUAUUUGACAAUCGGUAACGUCGGAACGUGACUCGAUACAUUUAACAGCGGCCACGUAUGUUUGUUGCAGGGUUUUGCCGGGAGAGGGCGAGCGCGGAAGCGAAGGUUUUUGCACGGGUUUGCACGUUGACACCUCACCUUUGGUCGGCACUUUAUUUGUAACCGUUUUGUGAAUAAAUGCUCGGCGGUUGAAGCGUUCACACCGAAGCGGCAGAGGAAAAGUUUGGUACGGAAAAAGAAACGUCAUUUUUGCGAGCGGGGCCUCCUGGAGGGUACGAGGGCAAAACGGAAGCUUCUGCAAGCAAUUUGGGCGUGUCCAGAGGCGGAGUAUACGGCUGAGCAGUUUGAGAGGAAUGGACGUGAAGCUGACCAGGCUAAUGAGCGACGGACGAGGGUCGUGAGGCCACACGGAUGCGGAAAUGGCAGAGAGCUGUUUUUCCCGGAAGAAGCUGAAUAAAUAUCGGCCCGAAGUCCGAAAUGUACACAACUGGCGCAAACUGGAGGAGGAAGAGACAUUUGUUUGGAACAAGGAGAAGCGGCAUAAAUGAAGGAAAUGUCAAGCGGCGGAAGGCAGGUUAUGCAUUAGUAAAGACAAAAGCUCAGAAGGACCUGAAAAGAAAUCCACACAAUUGAAGACCUCGAUGGGCUAAAGGUGUCUGUAGGAAUGCAUAAAAGGGGUGAAGACCGAGAAUCCUACACAAGUGGCACGUAGUUGUAUGAGGC